rnacentral:tRNA from 1 species
GGGGAUUUAGCUCAGCGGCAUAAGCACCUGCCUUGCAAGCAUGCAGUUGUGGGUUUAAUCCCCA